rnacentral:rRNA from 1 species
UACGUAGGGGGCAAGCGUUGUCCGGAUUUAUUGGGCGUAAAGAGCGUGUAGGCGGCCAGGUAGGUCCGCUGUGAAAACUCGAGGCUUAACCUCGAGAUGUCGGUGGAAACCAUCUGGCUAGAGUCCGGAAGAGGCGAGUGGAAUUCCUGGUGUAGCGGUGAAAUGCGCAGAUAUCAGGAGGAACACCCAGUGGCGAAGGCAGCUCGCU